UACAGAGGGUGCGAGCGUUGUUCGGAAUUAUUGGGCGUAAAGGGCGCGUAGGCGGUGCGGUAAGUCACCUGUGAAAUCUCCUGGCUCAACUGGGAGCUUGCAGGCGAAACUGCCGGGCUUGAGUAUGGGAGAGGUGAGUGGAAUUUCCGGUGUAGCGGUGAAAUGCGUAGAUAUCGGAAGGAACACCUGUGGCGAAAGCGGCUCACUGGACCAUUACUGACGCUGAGGCGCGAAAGCUAGGGGAGCAAACAGG
rnacentral:rRNA from 1 species